rnacentral:lncRNA from 1 species
AAAUAACCUAAACUUAGACUCUACAUAUAAAAUAAUGCCUAAAUCAGCAAAAGUUGACAAAAAAACACACAACCAAAAGGAAGACCUAAGAAUUAGAGAGAUACACUCUGCAAAAAGCUGAGCGCCGCAAGAAAUGUACCAUCCCCUGAUUUCGUCUUCUCCAAAUGACCCACCCCCUAAAGUUCAUCUCCCUCAACAGACCCCGCCCCAAAAACGACCCCUAAAUUUCAAAAACAACAGUCACCAAACCCCACGGCUUCACCUCCGUCAGAAACCAGAUGCACGACGCCACCAGUCGUGACUCGCCUCAACGCCCAACAACCUCUUGCCUCCUCCAUCUCCAUACCCCAAAACCUUCAUCACUCUCAUAAACACACACACAUCGAAGCAUAAACGAAUGAAAGGGGAGGGGAAAGGACUGACUCUGCUACUACAAUGAGAAAACAUACAAGAUGUUUCAGUUUCUUUUGUCAGUUUAAUUUUGAAGAAGGAAAUCACAACAGAAACAGAGAUAGUCUUUUCGAUUGUCGGAGUUCACUUUCUAAGCUCGUUUUUGCUAUUGUGUAGUGCAAUAUAUCUAUAUAUGUGAAUGAUAAUCUUUUAUUAGCCCUUUUCCCUUUUAUGAUAAGUGAACAAUCGUUUUCGUUAGCCUAUCUAAGGACAUUUAU